AUGGCCCUCACUGUCGGGGUACUGGCAGCGAUAGGAGCCCUGGUACUACUGCACACCAAGCACAACACAUCACACACAGACAUCCUUCACCUGCAUCAGAAAGAAACAUGUGUUAAUUCAUCCCAUCUUCUGUUGCAGCUCUUGCUCCAGAACAAGGUUCAGAGGAAAGGGGUGAUCCGGCCUCUGGAACCAGAGAUCUACAUCCCAGGUGAGUGCCCAAGCAAAUUAACAAUUCUGGUGCUUCCUUCCUCUCCCUGCAGCUCCACUCCACUGCAGCGGAAGCCCGGUCCCUGCUGCUUCUUGUCCCUGACUCGGCUCUCCGCAGCUCCCGUCUCGCUGCUCCUUCUGACCGAACGAGGAGAGAAGUGA
rnacentral:rRNA from 1 species